rnacentral:lncRNA from 1 species
UGAAGAGGGCUGGAUCUGAGACAAGAAACAUUUCUUUAAUUUUCUCUUCUUUUUUUAACAGGAUUUGCUGUUGCUUUGAAAGCCUCCUGCUAUUUUACAGGCAAUAAAAAAGAGAGACUAAAAACACUUAUUUCCUGAAGCUUGCUCGUUUCUCGAGCUCUGUUAAACCGAGCGUGCCUAGCAGGGGGAAGAGAGGCCUGAGCCCCGUGGACCCUUCGUCCAGUUGGGGAGGCCAAAAUUUCGCUGCCUGCCCCAGCGACGGCCGGCUUCGUUCAGCCUGGGAGCCCCCGUCGGGCGCCCUGACGUGCAGCGGAGACCCAGCUCGAUGCAGCUGGCCACGGGAUCCCACGUGGACUGUCCCCACGGCUCCCACGCUGCAGGCGAGCCGGACGCCGGUUCCCAGCUCUUGCACUGGUGACCRCUCUUGCUUCGCAGAGCAGAGCUUCGUUUCAGAGGGUAGGAGGCAAUGCUAUGGCCGGGCCAGGGCUGGAGGCAGCUCUCCUCCGCAGCGAGCGCCGCGGCUCCCAGCCAGGCCGUUUCGCGGGGCCGGACCUGYGCCCCUCCGCGCCGCGGACGUGCCGGCCGUGAGCCUGCGCUGWAGCAACCUGGAGCUUCAUCGGCACACGACAGGAGCCUGGGGGCCGAAACACUGGGGAUAA